rnacentral:rRNA from 1 species
UGGAUACGAGAUGCUACGGCGUCGAAGCAGUGUAUGUCAGACUUCCAAGAAAAGCUCGCUAUGUCAUGAAUAAAAAAUGCCUGUACCAUAACCGACACAGGUGGGUAGGUAGAGUAUACUAAGGGGCGCGAGAUAACUCUCUCUAAGGAACUCGGCAAAAUAACUCCGUAACUUCGGGAGAAGGAGUGCCUUCUUUAAGAAGGUUGCAAUAACAAGAUCCAAGCAACUGUUUAUCAAAAACACAGGUCUCCGCUAAGUCGCAAGACGAUGUAUGGGGGCUGACGCCUGCCCAGUGCCAGAAGGUUAAAGAAAUUGGUUAGCUUUGGCGAAGCUGAUGACUGAAGCCCUGGUGAACGGCGGCCGUAACAAUAACGGUCCUAAGGUAGCGAAAUUCCUUGUCGGGUAAGUUCCGACCCGCACGAAAGGCGUAAUGAUUUGGAUACUGUCUCGGAGAGGGACUCGGUGAAAUAGACUUGUCUGUGAAGAUGCGGACUACCUGCACCAGGACAGAAAGACCCUAUGAAGCUUUACUGUAACUUGAAAUUGAAAUUGGACUUUAUUUGCGCAGCAUAGGUGGAAGGCUUCGAAGGUAUUCUUGCGGGACUACUGGAGCCAUCAGUGAGAUACCACUCCUAUAAUGUUAGAUUUCUAACUUUGAAUCAUGAUCUGGUCAAAGAACAGUUUCAGGCGGGCAGUUUGACUGGGGCGGUCGCCUCCCAAAUGGUAACGGAGGCGUACAAAGGUUUCCUCUGAACGGGUAGAAAUCGUAUCUAGAGUGUAAAGGCAUAAGGAAGCUUGACUGUGAGACCUACAAGUCGAGCAGGGACGAAAGUCGGUCUUAGUGAUCUGACGGUGCUGAGUGGAAAGGCCGUCACUCAACGGAUAAAAGUUACUCUAAGGAUAACAGGCUGAUCUCCCCCAAGAGUUCACAUCGACGGGGAGGUUUGGCACCUCGAUGUCGGCUCAUCGCAUCCUGGGGCGGUAGUACGUCCCAAGGGUUGGGCUGUUCGCCCAUGAAAGGGUACGCGAGCUGGGUUCAGAACGUCGUGAGACAAUUCGGUCCAUAUCCGGUGUAGGCGUUAGAAUAUUGAGAGGAGCCUUCUUUAGUACGAGAGGACCGAGAAGGACAUACCUCUGGUGUACCAGUUAUCGUGCCAACGGUAAACGCUGGGUAGCUAUGUAUGGAGAGGAUAACCGCUGAAAGCAUCUAAGUGGGAAGCCCACCUCAAGAUGAG